rnacentral:lncRNA from 1 species
UGGACCUUGGUUUGGGUGUAUGGUUCAUGGUGCGUGGAUUGUGUGUGUUUUCAGCCAUCUGUACUUACCCCGCCCCCAUUCCUGUCAGCGUUUAAAUCACUCAAAAUAUAAGGCAGGUCAGUGCAGCAUUCUUGGAUGAGAAUGUUGGUCUACACUUCACCACUUUCCCUUCCCAGGAAGAAGUCAGGAGUUGAAGGGCACAGAGCUCUGCACUCUGCCCUCUGCCAAAGUGAGAUACUCACGCUUCCAGGAAGAGAGCGUCCCCGUCUGUUAUUAGGAAGCCCAGCACCCAGCUGCAGGGCUCGUCCUCCUCCUCAUACAGAUCUUCCUCACGGGCAGGGACUCCGUCCUACAGGAACUGGGUUUCCUGUUCACAAACCUCAUUCAGCUACGUACAGUUGACUCCGUGAUUUAGAAGAAACCCGACUUGGUUUACUUUUAAUGUUAAUCUAUCAAAUUAAACAGAGCAGGUUGUCCUCAG